GAUGAACGCUGGCGGCGUGCUUAACACAUGCAAGUCGAACGGGAUCCGUCAAGCUUGCUUGGCGGUGAGAGUGGCGAACGGGUGAGUAAUGCGUGACCAACCUGCCCCAUGCUUCGGAAUAGCUCCUGGAAACGGGUGGUAAUGCCGGAUGCUCCGCACUGUCGCAUGAUGGUGUGGGAAAGGGUUUACCGGCAUGGGAUGGGGUCGCGUCCUAUCAGCUUGUUGGCGGGGUGAUGGCCUGCCAAGGCUUCGACGGGGAGCCGGCCUGAGAGGGCGACCGGCCACAUUGGGACUGAGAUACUGCCCAGACUCCUACGGGAGGCAGCAGUGGGGAAUAUUGCACAAUGGGCGCAAGCCUGAUGCAGCGACGCCGCGUGCGGGAUGACGGCCUUCGGGUUGUAAACCGCUUUUGAUUGGGAGCAAGCGGGAGUGAGUGUACCUUUCGAAUAAGCACCGGCUAACUACGUGCCAGCAGCCGCCGUAA
rnacentral:rRNA from 1 species